CUCUUCCACGACCCCGCACGCCCCUCGGGUGCCCCCAAUACCCCAAGCGGUGAGGGGUCGUCCACUUCCACCGG
rnacentral:tRNA from 1 species